GCUCCCCACUCUUGAUCUUCCAGAUUAAGAAAGCCUGAGUUACCCCCAGAAUGAGUUACUCUAAGGACAGGUUGUAUUUACUUUUUCCUCCUCAAAAUGGAAGCUGGACUAAUGGAAUGGUUAUAAGUUCUCAUUAAUUACCUCUCCUGUUUUUACUCAUGUCACAAUUGGGAAGUUUUCUUUUUUCUCCCCAGCUGGUACAGUUUUUCAUUCAGUUUUAGUUUUCUAGUCUUCCUAAUUUACAUUUGGUUGCUUUAUUCCUCCUGGCUUGUAAAUUUUCUCAUUUACGUUUGGUUUGCUUAAAUUUGAUUAUUCCUGUGGACUUUUUUUUGAGGUUUGUAUGUUUUGUUUUUGGUGUUAAUUUGAACUUAAAUAAUAAUACCAAAUAUUUUUGAAUGCUCACAAUUGUGUCAGGCACAUUUUAUUAAUACAAAUGUUAUUUUGUUUAAUCUGCGCAAUUUCUUGGUGAACUAGAUGAUAUUAUUAUUCCCAUUUUAGAGAUGAAGAAAGUGAAGAAAGAAAUGAAGAUAUGUAAGUUCCCAAAGAACACAAAACUGGUAGAAAGGGCUUAAUCAUAUACUGUUGUUCCGUAGGUAAUAAAUCUCCUUUUCCCGUAUUCUGUGUGUACUUUUGGCUCUGACUUUGGGUUAAGGUUCAACAGGUGUAUUUAGUUUGUCUUAGUUUAAUAGUUACCCAAUUGACCAUGAUCAGAAUCACUUGGAGGGCUUGUUAAACCACUAAUUGCCAGGCUCCGCCCACAGAGUUUCUAUUUAAGGGGGGUCUGGCUUGGGCUCUGAAUUUGAGUUUUCAACAAGUUUCCAGCUGACGGGGACGUCCUGGUCUGGGACUGCUCUUUGAGAAGUGCUGGUUUCGUUCUUUCCCUUCAGAAUGCAUGGUGAUGUCUGUUCCAGCUGGUUUUCAUUCUUGACAGUGUAUCUCAAGUUCUGAAGUCUGUUGUCUGCUGUAACUCAGUUCCUUUUCCUUCCACUGAGGAACUAUUGGAAUGCAGCAAUGAAUGAGAAUUCUUGUUCCUCUACACCUCUGUCAGCGUUUGCUGUUGCCAGUGUUCUGGAUUUUGGCUGUUCUAACCGGAAGGUGAGCAUUCCCUAGGAGGCCCAGGACUUCCCAGAAGCUUUCCUGAAGGUCUGCCUGCGGGGUCUCACUCUGAACACAUCCCGGCUCCGGAUGCCUCUGCUUGUCUGCCUGCAACCCCAGCACCAAAGAUGAACAUAGCUCUCAGCAGAAAGCAGACUUUCAGCAUGCUAUUCUCUGCAGAGCUGCGAGUGGGACAGUGUUCCUGGUGUGUGAUGCUACUCAUGAACGAAGCUCUCUCUCAACAUUCAAUUGUGAAAAUAAAGGAUCCCAGAACUCUUUAUGGGGGCAUAGUGGUUUCGCAGUGUCAGGUUUCUUUAAGCUGCUCAUGACAGUUAGCCACCUGGUGUGUGGAGAUAGAGCCCACACAACUAUACCUUUGUCAGGUACACUUAACUGCCUGACUUCAUGGAAAUGAAGCAUAAUGGAAUUCCUGCCUGAUCUUUUAUUACUGUUGCUUUUGUGUAAGUAUUUCAACUGGGGUAGGCAAUAUACCAACAGUAUAUUUUCCAUUUGAAUACUGAGUGAUGAAUUUAUAUCCCUUUUUACUCAGUGAGAGAGAUUUCCUGGCCUAAUUUGUUCAGCAGGGAUAUUUCCCACGUGCUUUCCCUUGCUGAAGAGGAGGAUCCCACUGUUGGGGGAAAUGGAUGCUAAUUAAUCAUAUUCUAUUGAGCUUUUUACUGUGUAGCUCAAUUUUAUUUGAAAAGCAUAAUUGGGGUUGAGGUAGGGGAAGAGUGAACAUUAAACACAAAGCUUAAUAUUUAUGACAAUAUUGAAUACUUAGGCAAACUAUCUGAAGGUUUUUGUAUGGGACCAUUUUUACGGCUGAUUAAAGCUGUCAGAACAACAUUCAGAUGAAAUGCAGUGGGAGGUCAUUAGGCAGUGGAGCGGCACGCGCAGCCGGCCGGCACCCAGCACUGGUGCAGAGGCAGGCGUGCUAAUAACCGGAGUCCCUACUGACGCCCGGCAAUGCUGUUUUAUUUUUAUAUAUUGAUAUUCACUGAACAGAAGUAUAUAUUUGGUUUUAAUAAUGUAAAUAUCCUAUUAGAACCUUAAUUUCACUUUUAACUGGUAGACAGAAGAAACCAGGAUAAAAGGGAAUUCAUUCUUUCUACUAAUUCCCAAAUUAUGAAAAUCAAAAUAAUUUAACAUAAAUGGUUAUGAAUAGCAGUUCCCAUAAAAUCAAUUCCACUGAAGUUCCCAUAUUAUGAUGAACAUAAUUAUAAUCAUUAGUAAAUGUAUAUAUUUUAUUUUUUUCUUGAAAACUAAACGAGCCUACACUAUUUUCCAUGGCAUCUUUAGUUUCUGUGUGUAUUGAAGUCUUCUCAGAUCAAUUCAAAUAUUUAAAGCAUACUAUAUCAUAUAAAGUCAUAUUAUAGCAAUUGUUCUUAUAAUGUGUGGUGCCUAGUACUUGAAUCACACACUGCUAUUUAGUAGGUGCUCAAUAUGUGUUUGUUUGAAACUGGGUAAGUAUGUUAAUGCUACAGAGUUAUGUAUGUUCUAUCUGUAUGCAAGAAAAUAGGAUUAUCUAAUGAUGAGACAGGCUGCCCCCAGGGAACAGAGUGUCUAUUGGGACAUUUUUAGUCAGUUGCAACUCAGUGCCUCCAUCAAAUAUCACAUGCACUGAUAAUACAGCUGACUUCCAAAGUGUCCUCCAUUACCAAGAAGUUCUAAGCAUACCUCCACACACAGCGGUUAAACACCUUAUUUAUAAAGUUAUCUAAAUUUAUCAUACUAAUUUACUUUGUUUUUCUUGGUAUUCUUAAAGGUCCAUCAGAGUAUAUUUUCUCUCCUGCAAUCUUCCU